rnacentral:tRNA from 1 species
GCCUGGGUGGCUCAGUCGGUUAAGCAUCUGACUUCGGCUCAGGUCAUGAUCUCACAACUUGUGGGUUCAAGCCCCACAUCAGGCU